CUGUAAUUACAGACACCAGGUGCGGCGGCUCUCUCUCCUCUCCGGUGACUCCAGCAGUCAGAGCUGUGAAUGGUGACAAAGGGAUGGACAAAUGACAUUAUGACUCGAACCCCAGGGACUCUGCACUGAAGACCAGACACCUUAGCAGGGAUGGAGAGUGUGACACUGAGCCCCCAAGACCUCCUCCUGGACUCUGGGACAGCCGCGUACCCUGUCCAUUCACCGUCUAAAAUGACUGAUCACAAUCAACUGGUUAGAACUUGGGCCAAAUUCAGUCUAAGUGACACAACUGAUAGCCACAAUGCUGUCAAGUCAGCAGUCCUGGCCCUUCUCCUCACUCCUCAGGGGUAGCCAUGUUGGCUUCUGUAUCUCCAAAGGUGAAGGGUCCUUCUCUCCCAAAGUCAGUCCACAGAUAACU